rnacentral:rRNA from 1 species
ACACUCCUGCGGGAGGCAGCAGUGGGGAAUAUUGCACAAUGGGCGCAAGCCUGAUGCAGCCAUGCCGCGUGUAUGAAGAAGGCCUUCGGGUUGUAAAGUACUUUCAGCGGGGAGGAAGGCGAUAAGGUUAAUAACCUUGUCGAUUGACGUUACCCGCAGAAGAAGCACCGGCUAACUCCGUGCCAGCAGCCGCGGUAAUACGGAGGGUGCAAGCGUUAAUCGGAAUUACUGGGCGUAAAGCGCACGCAGGCGGUCUGUCAAGUCGGAUGUGAAAUCCCCAGGCUCAACCUGGGAACUGCAUUCGAAACUGGCAGGCUAGAGUCUUGUAGAGGGGGGUAGAAUUCCAGGUGUAGCGGUGAAAUGCGUAGAGAUCUGGAGGAAUACCGGUGGCGAAGGCGGCCCCCUGGACAAAGACUGACGCUCAGGUGCGAAAGCGUGGGGAGCAAACAGGAUUAGAAACCCCAGUAGUCCCAUGA